CGUAGGGUGCGAGCGUUAAUCGGAAUUACUGGGCGUAAAGCGUGCGCAGGCGGUUUUGUAAGUCUGUCGUGAAAUCCCCGGGCUCAACCUGGGAAUUGCGAUGGAGACUGCAAGGCUAGAAUCUGGCAGAGGGGGGUAGAAUUCCACGUGUAGCAGUGAAAUGCGUAGAGAUGUGGAGGAACACCGAUGGCGAAGGCAGCCCCCUGGGUCAAGAUUGACGCUCAUGCACGAAAGCGUGGGGAGCAAACAGGAUUAGAUACCCUGGUAGUCCACGCCCUAAACGAUGUCUACUAGUUGUCGGGUUUUAAUUAACUUGGUAACGCAGCUAACGCGUGAAGUAGACCGCCUGGGGAGUACGGUCGCAAGAUUA
rnacentral:rRNA from 1 species